UACGUAGGGCGCAAGCGUUGUCCGGAAUUAUUGGGCGUAAAGGGCGCGUAGGCGGCCCGGUAAGUAGGGGGUGAAAUCCUGCGGCUUAACCGCAGGGCUGCCUUCUAAACUGUCGGGCUCGAGCACGGUAGAGGCAGAUGGAAUUCCCGGUGUAGCGGUGGAAUGCGCAGAUAUCAGGAGGAACACCAAUGGCGAAGGCAGCUCGCUGGGACGUUACUGACACUGAGGCGCGAAAGCGUGGGGAGCGAACGGG
rnacentral:rRNA from 1 species